rnacentral:rRNA from 1 species
AUUGAACGCUGGCGGCAUGCCUUACACAUGCAAGUCGAACGGCAGCACGGGUGCUUGCACCUGGUGGCGAGUGGCGAGCGGGUGAGUAAUACAUCGGAACAUGUCCUGUAGUGGGGGAUAGCCCGGCGAAAGCCGGAUUAAUACCGCAUACGAUCUACGGAUGAAAGCGGGGGACCUUCGGGCCUCGCGCUAUAGGGUUGGCCGAUAGCUGAUUAGCUAGUUGGUGGGGUAAAGGCCUACCAAGGCGACGAUCAGUAGCUGGUCUGAGAGGACGACCAGCCACACUGGGACUGAGACACGGCCCAGACUCCUACGGGAGGCAGCAGUGGGGAAUUUUGGACAAUGGGCGAAAGCCUGAUCCAGCAAUGCCGCGUGUGUGAAGAAGGCCUUCGGGUUGUAAAGCACUUUUGUCCGGAAAGAAAUCCUUGGCUCUAAUACAGUCGGGGGAUGACGGUACCGGAAGAAUAAGCACCGGCUAACUACGUG